rnacentral:rRNA from 1 species
GACAUAGGUGGCGAACGUUAUCCGGAAUUAUUGGGCGUAAAGAGCUCGUAGGCGGUUUGUCGCGUCUGCCGUGAAAGUCCGGGGCUCAACUCCGGAUCUGCGGUGGGUACGGGCAGACUAGAGUGAUGUAGGGGAGACUGGAAUUCCUGGUGUAGCGGUGAAAUGCGCAGAUAUCAGGAGGAACACCGAUGGCGAAGGCAGGUCUCUGGGCAUUAACUGACGCUGAGGAGCGAAAGCAUGGGGAGCGAACAGG